rnacentral:rRNA from 1 species
AGCGAACGCUGGCGGCAGGCUUAACACAUGCAAGUCGAGCGCCCCGCAAGGGGAGCGGCAGACGGGUGAGUAACGCGUGGGAACGUGCCCUUCGGUCUGGAAUAACCCAGGGAAACUUGGGCUAAUACCGGAUACGUCCGAAAGGAGAAAGAUUUAUCGCCGAAGGAUCGGCCCGCGUAAGAUUAGCUAGUUGGUGAGGUAACGGCUCACCAAGGCAAUGAUCUUUAGCUGUUCUGAGAGGAAGAUCAGCCACACUGGGACUGAGACACGGCCCAGACUCCUACGGGAGGCAGCAGUGGGGAAUAUUGGACAAUGGGCGCAAGCCUGAUCCAGCCAUGCAGCGUGAGUGAUGAAGGCCUUAGGGUAGUAAAGCUCUUUUACCAGGGAAGAUAAUGACGGUACCUGGAGAAUAAGCCCCGGCUAACUUCGUGCCAGCCGCCGCCGUAA